rnacentral:rRNA from 1 species
AAUAGAUACCCCGGGUAGUCCACGCCGUAAACGAUGAGUGCUAAGUGUUAGGGGGUUUCCGCCCCUUAGUGCUGCAGCUAACGCAUUAAAGCACUCCGCCUGGGGAGUACGGUCGCAAGACUGAAACUCAAAGGAAUUGACGGGGGCCCGCACAAGCGGUGGAGCAUGUGGUUUAAUUCGAAGCAACGCGAAGAACCUUACCAGGUCUUGACAUCCCAUUGACCACUAUGGUAGACAUAGUUUUCCCUUCGGGGGACAACGGUGACAGGUGGUGCAUGGUUGUCGUCAGCUCGUGUCGUGAGAUGUUGGGUUAAGUCCCGCAACGAGCGCAACCCUUGUUCUUAGUUGCCAUCAUUUAGUUGGGCACUCUAAGGAGACGUGCCGGUGACAAACCGGAGGAAGGUGGGGAUGACGUCAAAUCAUCAUGCCCCUUAUGACCUGGGCCCUANACACGUGCUACAAUGGACGGUACAAACGGUUGCCAACCCGGCGAGGGGGGUAGCUAAAUCCCGGAUAAAACCCGGUUCUCAGUUCGGAUUGUAGGCUGCAACUCGCCUACAUGAAGCC